AGAGCCAAUAUCAAGACAGUGCUCUGCUCAGAAUAUGCUGUGAAACACACACCACCAGAAAUGCAACAACUGCAGGGUCAUGAAGGGAAGAAGCAGAUUCAACAAGUGUUUACUAACAGACAGAAGCAAAACUGGUUGUCACUCAACUUUACACGGAAACAUGAGAUUUCACAUGCUCUCUUAAGAAUGCAGGUCCUGAGACUGAGGAGUACUUAAUUCACAUGCUUUGUUAAUGGCACUCAAAAGUAGCAUACUUUUCUUAUCGUAAAAACAUAAGAACAUCAACAACCAUAAUGCUGUUCUGUUGGAAAAUAGCAUCUGUCACCGUUGAAGUUUUCUGCACCUUCGUGCAUUCAUUGAAGCAUGGCCAUGGCCAGUAAGUGAUAUUAAAUUAAUUACUGCCAUGAUUUACACAUGGACUACAG